AACCACAGUAUCAGAAGCACAGCAGUGGUCAAUAUGCUUUCCCCCUUUUUCCUGUGUGACACACUUCCACUCCACCCCCUCUCUCAUAACUAUAACCUUUUACCCAGAGAGAAUCAAUAGGACCAAGGCAGGGGACAGAGCUGAGCUUUCGAUUGGAACAGAGCUUUUGAAUGGAUGUGGUGAGGUGUCGGACAGGGUUGUCUGGAUUGGUUCUGGCCUAAGGCAGUAGGAGGAGACUUUCACAAUGAAUGGGAGUGCUGGGAACACAUGUUAACUGAAGUUAUCUGGCUGUGCAGGGAGGGGAAGCAGAGAGAGGAAAGGAACACAACAACAGCUCUGCUGUCUCUCAAGUUGGGCCAGAUCUCUUGGCUGGACUUCCUCAAUGAUCAUUGCACAUAUAGACAUGUUAGCUCAGUGAACAAACACAACCCUUUAACCCAUGAGUCUAAGCCCUGUCUAAGCCGGGGGGGUUCUACUAAGCUAUAUGGAAUUAUUUUAAGAAGGUCAUACCAAGGAUCAUUUAGCUAUUUGAUUUAGAAUUUUAAGGACCCUUGAAGUGUAAAAAAAAAAAAAAAAAAGCCUUACUGCUAUUAGCCCAUACAAAUGCAUUGAAUAACAGAUUCACUACAUGGAACAACAGAUAGUCCACCUAAAAAUCAAAAGGAAGUUUGUUCUUAAGUGUCUGCCUUAUAUCUGUGAGAUGUAAGAAACAGGAAACAUUAUUAUUAUAUAUAUUGUUUUACAUGUAUUUAACCACUUAUGUUUUGGGCACUAAACAGUCUCCUUAUAUACUUCCAUUCAUUUGUUCAACUGGUACUAGGGGACGUUCAGAGGAGUCUUGUGAGGCCUGUGGGUCUCCUAGAGGAAAACAACCAACAUGUACGUGUUCGUGAGAGUCUCACCUUUACACAGAGGGGUGACAGGCUCUGCUGUCUCUCAAGUUGGACCAGAUAUCUUGGCUGAACUUCCUCAAUGAUCAUUGCACAUGUAGACAUGUUAGCUCAGUGAACAAACACAAUCCUUUAACCCAAUUCAUCAAUGUUUUCAAGAACAUUGAGGACCUCAAGAUGUAACUAUACUUAUGGACAGACUGGCAUGAGGCAUCUAAGACCAUCAUCCCAGAAACACUGAGCACCAAUGGCAGAGGAGCACAGUAACAGGAGUACAGUUCACAUGUGACGUCAUAUCAGGCAGUAAUCACGGACUUCUUAUCAUACCAGUCACCGUCAGCCGUACAGUUCUGACCUCUGUUUCCAAGAUUUCAUGAUCACAUGCACCAUACCCAGUAGUACACUCCAUACCCUCUCACCCAUCUGGAAGCCCUGACAUAGCCUGGGCAGUGGGUAGACUCAUCACCCAGGAAACAAUU
rnacentral:lncRNA from 8 species